UACGUAGGGACCAAGCGUUGUUCGGAUUUACUGGGCGUAAAGGGCGCGUAGGCGGCGCGGUAAGUCACUUGUGAAAUCUCUGAGCUUAACUCAGAACGGCCAAGUGAUACUGCAGUGCUAGAGUGCAGAAAGGGCAAUCGGAAUUCUUGGUGUAGCGGUGAAAUGCGUAGAUAUCAAGAGGAACACCUGAGGCGAAGGCGGGUUGCUAGGCUGAUACUGACGCUGAGGCGCGAAAGCCAGGGGAGCGAACGGG
rnacentral:rRNA from 1 species